GAUGAACGCUGGCGGCGUGCCUAAUACAUGCAAGUCGAGCGAACAGACGAGGAGCUUGCUCCUCUGACGUUAGCGGCGGACGGGUGAGUAACACGUGGAUAACCUACCUAUAAGACUGGGCUAACUUCGGGAAACCGGAGCUAAUACAGGAUAAUAUAUUCAACCGCAUGGUUCAAUAAUGCAAGACGGUUUUACUAUCACUUAUAGAUGGAUCCGCGCCGCAUUAGCUAGUUGGUAAGGUAACGGCUUACCAAGGCAGCGGAGCGUAGCCGACCUGAGAGGGUGAUCGGCUACCCGGGAAGUGAGAGACGGUCCAGACUCCUACAGGGGGCCGCGGUAGGGACUCUUCCGGGAGGGACGAAUGCGUGACGGAGCACCGCCGAGGGAAUGAUGAAGGUCUUCGGAUCGUAAAACUCUGUAAUUAUUGAAUAACAAAUGUGUUAUUAAAUGUGCAGGACUGGACGGUACCUUAGCAGAAAGCCCCGGCUAACUACGUG
rnacentral:rRNA from 1 species